CCAAUAGCGUAUAUUAAAGUUGUUGCAGUUAAAAAGCUCGUAGUUGAAUUUCGGGAUCAAUAUGCUGGUCGUGCCAUUGGUACGUACUGGUAUUAUUGAUUUCUCCUUUCUGAUGAAUCAUGAUGUCAUUAAUUUGAUGUCAUGGGGAAUCAGGAUUGUUACUUUGAAAAAAUUAGAGUGUUUAAAGCAGGCUCGCGCUU
rnacentral:rRNA from 1 species